GAUGAAGAACGUAGCGAAAUGCGAUACUUGGUGUGAAUUGCAGAAUCCCGUGAACCAUCGAGUCUUUGAACGCAAGUUGCGCCCGAAGCCACUAGGCCGAGGGCACGCCUGCCUGGGCGUCACACGCCGUUGCCCCCCCAUCUACUCCUUCGGGAUUGCGGGGGGGCGGAUGAUGGCCUCCCGUGCGCCUAGCCGCGCGGUUGGCAUAAAUACCAAGUCCUCGGCGACGCACGCCACGACAAUCGGUGGUUGCGAAACCUCGGUUGCCCGUCGGGUGCGUUCGUCGCGCAUCGAGGGCUCGAAAAAAUGCUCGGCUCCGGCUGGGCUUUCAACGCGACCCCAGGUCAGGCGGGGUUACCCGCUGAAUUUAAGCAUAUCAAUAAGCGGAGGA
rnacentral:misc_RNA from 1 species